AUUGAACGCUGGCGGCGUGCCUUACACAUGCAAGUCGAACGGUAACAGGUCUUCGGAUGCUGACGAGUGGCGAACGGGUGAGUAAUACAUCGGAACGUGCCUAGUAGUGGGGGAUAACUACUCGAAAGAGUGGCUAAUACCGCAUGAGAUCUACGGAUGAAAGCAGGGGAUCGCAAGACCUUGUGCUACUAGAGCGGCCGAUGGCAGAUUAGGUAGUUGGUGGGAUAAAAGCUUACCAAGCCGACGAUCUGUAGCUGGUCUGAGAGGACGAUCAGCCACACUGGGACUGAGACACGGCCCAGACUCCUACGGGAGGCAGCAGUGGGGAAUUUGGGACGAUGGGCGAAAGCCUGAUCCAGCAAUGCCGCGUGCAGGAUGAAGGCCUUCGGGUUGUAAACUGCUUUUGUACGGAACGAAAAGCCCCGGGUUAAUACCCUGGGGUCAUGACGGUACCGUAAGAAUAAGCACCGGCUAACUACGUGCCAGCAGCCGCAGUAA
rnacentral:rRNA from 1 species